AUGAAUUGUAUUGUCUGGAACUGUCGCGGGCUUGGGAACCCGGAGAUAGUUCGUGAACUUCACCAUAUGGUGAGGUUGCAAGCGCCCACCCUGGUCUUUAUCUCUGAAACAAAGAUAGAGGGUAAGAGAGUUGCGGAGUUGAGAUCAAGUCUUGGCUUCGAAGGAUGUAUACCGGUUAGCAGUAACGGUUUGAGUGGGGGACUUGCCCUUUUCUGGUCACGUGAGGUUGAUGUGAAGCUUAAUAAUAUGUCCGAUCAGCAUAUUGAUGCAAUGGUAAGGAAUGUGGGAGGUGAUCAGAAAGAGUGGCGUUUCACGGGCUUUUAUGCCAAAGCAAAAAGGAGUGACAGAAGUGAGAGCUGGAAGUUGUUAAAAUGGCUUCGAUGCCAAAGUGAUGUUCCAUGGCUAUGUGGGGGUGAUUUCAAUGAGAUUACUGAUAACUCGGAGUAUUUUGGGUCUAAUGACCGGGCGGAAUGGCAGAUGCAAGGGUUCAGGGAGGUGAUAGACCAUUGUAAUUUUCAGGACUUGGGAUAUGCAGGCAUUCCUUUCACCUGGGAUAACCGGCAGGAUGGAGAUGCAAAUGUGAAGGUCAGGCUAGACCGUUUCUUGGCCGACCCUACAUUCUUGCAGGAGUACGGGGCGACGGGUGUUCGGCAUCUCCCGACACCAUUGUCGGAUCACUGCUUAGUGGUCGUACGCAUUAAGAAAGAUGACGCGUGGGAACAGAGAGGCCCACAAAGGUUUAUAUGA
rnacentral:rRNA from 1 species